rnacentral:rRNA from 1 species
GACGGAAGGUGCAAGCGUUGCUCGGAAUCACUGGGCGUAAAGGGUGCGUAGGCGGCCGUGCAAGUCUGGCGUGAAAGCCCCGGGCUCAGCCGGGGAAGUGCGCUCGAAACUGCGCGGCUCGAGUGCCGGAGGGGAGAGUGGAAUUCCUGGUGUAGCGGUGAAAUGCGUAGAUAUCAGGAGGAAUACCGGUGGCGAAAGCGACUCUCUGGACGGCAACUGACGCUGAGGCACGAAAGCGUGGGGAGCGAACAGG